UACGGGGGGGGCAAGCGUUGUUCGGAAUUACUGGGCGUAAAGGGCGCGUAGGCGGCCUGCUAAGUCGGAUGUGAAAUCCCUCGGCUCAACCGAGGAACUGCAUCCGAUACUGGCGGGCUUGAAUCCGGGAGAGGGAUGUGGAAUUCCAGGUGUAGCGGUGAAAUGCGUAGAUAUCUGGAGGAACACCGGCGGCGAAGGCGGCAUCCUGGACCGGUAUUGACGCUGAGGCGCGAAAGCUAGGGGAGCAAACGGG
rnacentral:rRNA from 1 species